AUUGAACGCUGGCGGCCGGCCUAACACAUGCAAGUCGAACGAGCGGCGGACGGGUGAGUAAUGUAUGGGGAUCUGCCUGAUGGAGGGGGAUAACUACUGGAAACGGUAGCUAAUACCGCAUACCCUCAGAUGAACCCAUAUGGGAUUAGCUUGUAGGUGGGGUAACGGCUCACCUAGGCGACGAUCCCUAGCUGGUCUGAGAGGAUGCUCAGCCACACUGGGACUGGGAAACGGCCCAGACUCCUACGGGAGGCAGCAGUGGGGAAUAUGGCACAAGGGGGGCAAGCCUGAUGCAGCAAUGCCGCGUGGAUGAAGAAGGCCUUCGGGUUGUAAAGUACGUUCAGUCGGGAGGCGGUACCGACAGAAGAAGCACCGGCUAACUCCGUGCCAGCAGCCGCGGUAAUAC
rnacentral:rRNA from 1 species